GCAGAUCGCCCCAUUCAGCGCACGAGUGUGACGCGGUGACCGAGGAAGUGCUACAUUUCGACGUGUACAUCCUCACGCUGUGCUUCCGGUUAAGCAAAAGCGUGAUCAGUCGUGCUCGGUCUCUCUUCCCUUCCUCGGCUCGCAGUAGAGGCGUCUCGUAGGAUUCUCCCGGUUCCUUUACCUCUUUCUCUUCCCUCCCCAACGGAGUACUCACUCAGUCCAGCGGACAUGGCAUCUGCAGCAGCGGCACAAGUUCAGUCCACCCCAGCUUCAGCUCCACAGCUGCAGAGGGGAAUAGUGAAGACGGUCUUGUCUGGUUGUGCUGUCAUCGUUAGGGGUCAGCCGCGAGGAGGGCCCCCUCCAGAACGACAGAUCAACCUGAGUAACAUCCGAGCCGGAGCUCUCGCCCGUCGCGCAAUUCAGGGUCAACCAGACCACCAAGGACACACCAGAUGAGCCAUGGGCUUCCAGGCAAGAGAGUUUUUGCGCAAGAAGGUAAUCGGCAAAGAGGUCUGCUUCACCGUGGAGAAUAAAACCCCUCAAGGCAGGGAAUACGGCAUUGUCUUCCUGGGAAAAGACACCACAGGCGAAAAUAUCGCAGAGUCCCUGGUGGCCGAAGGUCUUGCCGCAGUUCGCAGAGGAAGGCAUCAGAGGA